AAUAUGAUGCCUGAUAAAAAGGUUUGCUUUGAUAGAGCAAGUAAUGUAAUUUAAUAAUACUCAUAUUA
rnacentral:tRNA from 1 species